UACGUAGGGACCAAGCGUUGUCCGGAAUCAUUGGGCGUAAAGGGCGCGUAGGCGGCAUGGCAAGUGGAUGGUGAAAUCCCUCGGCUUAACCGAGGAACUGCCGUCCAAACUGCUUCGCUUGAGACCGGGAGAGGUGAGUGGAAUUCCCAGUGUAGCGGUGAAAUGCGUAGAUAUUGGGAGGAACACCAGUGGCGAAGGCGGCUCACUGGACCGGUACUGACGCUGAAGCGCGAAAGCGUGGGGAGCAAACGGG
rnacentral:rRNA from 1 species